GAUGAACGCUGGCGGCGUGCCUAAUACAUGCAAGUCGAGCGAAAGGAUUAAGAGCUUGCUCUUAUGAAGUUAGCGGCGGACGGGUGAGUAACACGUGGGUAACCUGCCCAUAAGACUGGGAUAACUCCGGGAAACCGGGGCUAAUACCGGACAACAUUUUGAACCGCAUGGUUCGAAAUUGAAAGGCGGCUUCGGCUGUCACUUAUGGAUGGACCCGCGUCGCAUUAGCUAGUUGGUGAGGCAACGGCUGACCAAGGCAACGAUGCGUAGCCGACCUGAGAGGGUGAUCGGCCACACUGGGACUGAGACACGGCCCAGACUCCUACGGGAGGCAGCAGUAGGGAAUCUUCCGCAAUGGACGAAAGUCUGACGGAGCAACGCCGCGUGAGUGAUGAAGGCUUUCGGGUCGUAAAACUCUGUUGUUAGGGAAGAACAAGUGCUAGUUGAAUAAGCUGGCACCUUGACGGUACCUAACCAGAAAGCCACGGCUAACUACGUGCCAGCAGCCGCAGUAA
rnacentral:rRNA from 1 species